rnacentral:lncRNA from 1 species
UGCAGCCUCAAACUCCUGGGCUUGAGCAGUCUUCCCACUUUAGCUUCACUAGUAGCUGGGACUACAGGUAUGCACCAUCAUGCCCAUCUAAUUUUUUAAUUUUUUGUGGAGACAGGGUUUUGCUGUGUUGCCCAGGCUGGUCUCAAACUCCUGGGCUCAGGCUGUCCUCCCACUCAGCCUCCCUAUGUUAUCUCCUUUUGAUUGAUGAAGAAUUGAAGGCUCAAAACAAUUAAGUAAUUUGUACAAGAUCCCAUAGCCAGUAAGUGCCAGAGUGGGGCUUGUGUCUGACCAAGGUCCAUGGACUUCCAGUUAGUAACAUUAUGUGAUCAUGUCCACUGAAAAAAUUGUAGAAGAAAAUGUGGUUUCUGGGAGCACACCAGAUGAUUGCUCGGUAUUUAACAUAGUUUUCUAUACCAGGAUAUAUAUGCUAGGGGCUUAAAUGCUGGGAUUCACUAAUGAGUUAGACCAGCAUUUUCCAAACUGUGUUCUGUGAAAUACAAUAUCUUCUCCAAAGGCAUUCUGUGAAAUAAAUUUGUUCAAAUAAGUUUGGAAAAAGGCCAUAUUCUGUGUCCUUAUUGGAGAUUCACAUUAGCCUAAUAUAAUCUCUGAGAAUUGCUGAGCUUAAGAACCCUUUUAAACUUUUUUCUUAUUUAGUAUUUCCCACAUUUGGAAUAUACAUAUACAUACACACACUUGGAAUACACACAUGUAUAUACAUACACACAUACAUAGACACACAUAUAUAUUACACUGCAUCAAUAUUUUGCUUGACAUUAAUGCUCUGUGAGAUUCAACUUGAAAAAUGCUGAAUUAGACCUACUAUAUUUUGAAUUUUUAUUUUAUAAGGUUGGACUCUCACCCUAUAUUACUUUUGAAUGUCAGUUGUAGAAAGUGAGAACUUGGCCUGCUAUGCUUUGAGUUCCUGACUCUUCUUGAAUUCCUAGUGAAGGGAAGUUGAUUGCUUAGGGAGCUGAUGGUGGUAGAGAAAACUCAGACCAUACUAUUCCCUUCUUUCUGGGUGGCACCACCUAGGGGUCUAUUAUAUUGUCUUUGUAGAGACACAUUAGGUAUAACUCUACUAAAGCUUUCAGCAUAGUUCUCUAUUUCAUUUCUUCUUGAAUUUCCAACCCAGAAAUUACUACAUAAGCUAUUUCUUAUUUUCCAUAACAUCUGUAUUCUUCUGCAACAAUUCUAAAAAUGAAUGUCUUUUCUUUCUUUGUUUUUUCUUUCUUUCUCAUACAAAUCUGCUCUCGACAUUGGUAAAAUAGUUAUUGAAUUCAUUCACACACAGAGGCUCAAUUUGUAGACUCUCUUUAAAAAUAUAUAUAUAUAUAUUUAUUUAUCUAUCUUUCUGUAAAACCACUUAUCAAAAGAGAUUUUCAGUGUGAUUACCUUGACUUUUAUCUUAUAGAGUACUUACAGCUGAUUGAUAUUAAGAUCCUGAUUGAUAUUAAGAUCCUGAACUAACUUAUUAUUUGAGAGUCAGCCAUAAUUUGUUAUAAUUUACAUUUUAAACAUGGCAAGACUCAAAGAUUUAAUAUAAAGGUGUGGCUCAGUAGUUCUAAAUAUGAAUCAUGGAUUACUUGUACACAAAUCUCACAAAACACAUUUUUUAUUUAAAAAAAAAAGAUAAGAAGUAUGAAAGGGGAAAAAUCACCAUCACUGAAUUUUCAUCAAGGUAGGAUAAUAAUUAACCCAAAUUUUCUUGUAAUUAAAAGAUUAAACUAUAAUAGGAGACUUUGCUAAAUACAUUACUUAAACAUCAGUUUCGCCAAAAAAAAAAGUGCAUAUAAAAAGUACCUCAUGACUCUGUUUUAAUUAGUUCUGUUGUCAUUGUCAUUGUGCAAUUGGAAAUGGUGUACACUAUCUGGGAAAACUUUUGUAGAACAUACAGGCAUUUAUAUUAGAUUUAGAAUGUAGUCCUUCUUCGAGGCCCUGGGAAAGAAAUAGAGAUGGGUCCUUGUAAAUUAAAACCUUACGCCUCAUGUGUUUAAAGAGGCCUCUCUGAUUGGCUAAGAUGUGGGGUGCUGAGUUUGCAAUCAUUUCAGUGCAGACAUUUUAGGAGAAUAAGUAAGACUUGUGCUUCUGUAAGUCAACAUUUCUGUUCUCCCUUCUAGAUGAUUUGUUUGUGUAUGAGGGAAAUAAUGUUAUGCAUCUGUUAAAAUUACAGUCUGAUCAAAUCGUUUUCUUCUUGUUCGUUUCUUGCUUUAACCUGAAAUCUCCUGGCCGAAGGUAACAGGGAAGUCAAUUUAUGGUUUCUAAAGUGUGG